UACGAAGGGGGCUAGCGUUGUUCGGAUUUACUGGGCGUAAAGAGCUCGUAGGUGGUUCGGUAAGUCAGGUGUGAAACCUCCAGGCUCAACCUGGAGACGCCACUUGAUACUGCUGUGACUGGAGUCCGGUAGGGGAGCGUGGAAUUCCUGGUGUAGCGGUGAAAUGCGCAGAUAUCAGGAGGAACACCAGCGGCGAAGGCGGCGCUCUGGGCCGGUACUGACACUGAGGAGCGAAAGCGUGGGUAGCAAACAGG
rnacentral:rRNA from 1 species